rnacentral:rRNA from 1 species
CUACGGGGGGCAGCAGUAAGGAAUAUUGGUCAAUGGACGCAAGUCUGAACCAGCCAUGCCGCGUGCAGGAAGACGGCCUUAUGGGUUGUAAACUGCUUUUGUCAGGGAAUAAACCCUCGCUUGCGAGCGGGGCUGAAGGUACCUGAAGAAUAAGCAUCGGCGUAACUCCGUGCCAGCAGCCGCGGUAAUACGGAGGAUGCAAGCGUUAUCCGGAUUCAUUGGGUUUAAAGGGUGCGCAGGCGGGCUAAUAAGUCAGAGGUGAAAUACUACGGCUCAACCGUGGAACUGCCUUUGAUACUGUUAGUCUUGAGUUUAAUUGAAGUGGGCGGAAUGUAGCAUGUAGCGGUGAAAUGCAUAGAGAUGCUACAGAACACCGAUAGCGAAGGCAGCUCACUAAGUUACAACUGACGCUCAUGCACGAAAGCGUGGGGAUCAAACAGGAUUAGAUACCCUAGUAGUC